UCUGUGGACAGGGGGAUCUCCGUAAAAGUGAAGGGCAGAGUGUAGGGCCUGGCUUCCCUCUGAGACCAAGAGGCUCCCGGAGGGGUGACCUGGCUGUGGCUGGGUGACGGUGAGAGGGGAUGUUGGUGCCACUCAUCCUCUCAGCAGGAAGUUGGAACUAGCCCCUGGCCCCAGGGGGAAUUCUCAUGUCCUGAGGUAGAAUAUGCCAAGGGGWCAGCCCCCUUCAAGCCAGACUCCUCCCCAUCUUGGGCUCCCUCAGCUGUGGCCUGCAGCUGCUUCCCCAGCACCUCGUCAACAACAGCUCUCCUGGUGGCGGACCCCUGCUGGAGCCCUCCUGUUGGGAACCCUUGGGUCUCAGCGGGGCGGGCACCUCUGUGUGGCACCAACCUGCUCACCAGGUGGGCAGUGCCAUCUCGUCAUAGUUCUUCAAGUUUCUUCUGCGUGAGGAAUUGGGCAGGUUGCUGCCCUCUGGGGCUUAUAGGAUAGUGGUAAGAAACAAGACAAGGCCCAGGAGAAGCUAAGUGCUGCUCUAAGUCUGCCUUCACACACUGCCGGGAGAGCGGCCCAGGAGUCUCUCCCCAGCCUGGACAAAGACAAAGGAUCUGGGGCAGCAGGGGACAGAAUUAGAAGUAACCACCAGGAGGUCUGCUCUCAGCCCAGAGGAGGACAGCACCGGCUGUAACCCAGAUGAACAGGGACCCGGCACCUCCCUGAGCACUGUGGAUGCUUUUCUUUUUAAACAGAAAAAUGACUCUACCCAAACCAUCUCACAAACGAUCAACCUGGGGUGGAACUGCCAGUGCCCCCUUCCCUGGCAGCAGCAGUGGAUUGACCCCGGGAUGCCACAGCUGCGGGCAUCACUCAGCUCUUUCCAGCCUGUCCCCGAGAGUCCCUCAGCCCCUCCCUCUCUGCCAUGCCAGCACUGCUAAAUUUAGCCCUUCUGGUGUGUGCAGAGACUAUAUUUAGUGGCUAAAAGUCAGAUUCAGCAUACAAUCCAUCAAGCCACCUGUCAUCCCUCCGGCCGGCGACACUGAAAAAUCCUUCCGAGAGACUUGCUCGCUGUCCGCCACGGGUGGAAGCCAUUCUAAGAACCAGGAAUUUGCUGGGCCAGAGGGGGUUUCUCCUCACCCUGGUGUGUGAGCAGUGCCAGGCCCUGAGCUGGCAGCCAGGGUGGAGUGUGGUUCCAGAGGCCAGAGGGAGGAGGGGUGGGCGGCAGGAGGCUCAGGGCUGGACUGCAGGCCGACUGCACCCAUCUGUCCUGGGUGAAGGCACAAGCAACUGGGUGUGGCUCCCAGGGCUCCUACCUGGAUGUCGGGUCUGGAUGGGGCUUGCCUUGAGACCCCUCCAACACACCAGGAGCCCUCCAGUGCGCCAGGGUUUCCCCAGACGCUCUUUACAGCAGCCCCCUCUCUAACUGCAAGGUGCAGUGGAAUGUGGUCAGAACCCGGUUCCUGUCUAGAAGGUCUGGGAUAGGCUGCUGCCGAGGCCUGCCGUGGAGUGACAGGGWCUCCACUGUGAUGGCCUGUACGCAAGCACACUGUUGCCGUCUCCUGCCACAAGCUGCAGGACCCGACAUGCCACCUUAGUGCUCAACAAGUAAUUUUAUUGAUUUAUGUAGGUUCCAGGGAUUGAACCCACAGGCACUCAGCCAUUGAG